GAUUCCGGGAGAGACCGAAAGGCGCCGAAGGGGAAAGAGCAGAUAACUCUCAGGCAAAAGGACCGGAAU
rnacentral:ncRNA from 1 species